rnacentral:tRNA from 1 species
UCGCGGAGUGGAGCAGUGGUAGCUCGUUGGGCUCAUAACCCAAAGGUCACAGGUUCGAGUCCUGUCUCCGCAACUAA